AUUAAAUCAAACAGCGGUAAAGUGCUUUAUUUGAUUUACAAAGUAAAAGAGGCCACUUUUAUUAGACUGAAGUUUGGUUCAAGAUCAUUGAAAAAGAAAAAACGCUCUCUGAAAAACAGCAACUCCUCCAGAUGUAGGGUCACUUUUCAGAACUUUUUAUAAUCAAUAGUUUGGUCUAUAACUUCAUUACACGUUCGCUAACAGAGGUUUAACACAUGGAAGCUGUUGUUUUUGUUAAAGCAAAAGGAAGAAAGGUCAUAAUUGAGAGCACAAAGACUUUUUCCUUAGCCCUGAAAAACUAACAUGGAGGUCCUUAGAGAGUGUGUUGUUGUUGGAAACGACGUUCAGGUUCCACGUCCGUUCAGGUGUCUGCGUAUUUUUGGUCACAUCCAGAUUAAACCUCACUUAUUCCUGUAAAAGUAUAACUUUCUGACUCAUCUUUGGCUGUUUUCUGGUUUCACAGAUGGCUGACGAGGUUUCCAUUCGCUCUCCCUCAGCUCUCCAGAAUUUGCCACCAAACAUGGGAAGCCAUCAGACAUAUGAGCUCUCAAAUUAGCAUCGAUUCAGUGACAGACGCAGGGAUGGAGGACGCAGAUCGAGAUAUGAUUAAAGGUCAGAGUCAGGAGAAAUUACAGGCCUGUUGCGCUCAUGUUAUUUUCCA
rnacentral:lncRNA from 1 species